AUAUAAUUUUUUGGCUUCUUUAUGGCUGCAUAUGCUUUAAAAGACCUAGUAGAGUUGUUGGACAGAGAAAAUACUAAGGCUUAAACGAGAAUAUCGAAGCAUUUGCUAAUUUCUUUUACUUUUCAUGGGUCUUGUUUAUUAUUCAUAAAUCUAAUAUUGGUUUCUUUCCUCCUAUUAGCUGAUCAUGGUGGAUGGACACGUGUUGUUGCUGAGAAACCCUUUGGUAGGGAUCUAGAAUCUGCUGAAGAACUCAACACUCAGAUUGGAGAGUUGUUUGAAGAACAACAAAUUUAUCGUAUCGAUCACUUCUAGUGAAGAACAUGGUAAUAAAUGAACAUAUAAUGACUCACUUCUUGGACACCCAUUCGGCUACUGAAUCAGAUUCAAUCUGCUAUUCCAAGAAGUGAUGAGGUUGUUCUUGGACAAUAUGAAGGCUUUAGAGAUGACUCAACUGUACCUGACGAAUCAAACACUCCGACUUUUGCAACUGCUAUUAUUCGGAUACACAAAGAAAGUUGGGAAGGUGUUUCAUUCAUUAUGAAAAGCAGGGAAGGCCCUAGAAUCUAGAAAGGCAGAAAUUGAGGUUCAAUUCAAGGAUGUUCCUGGUAACAUUUUCAGAAGCAUCAUGGCAAAUAUUUACACCACUUUUACACAAUUGAUAGACGGGAUUUGAAGCCAGUUCCUUACUAGCCCGGAGAGGUUCUGCAGAAGUUCGUAGAAAAGGCUGGAUAUGUUCAAACACGGUUUUUUCCCUACCAGAUUUGUCUCUCAUCCAUGCUACGAUCAAUUCAAUAGGUAUUCCGUAGCAUUUCACUAGCUAAAUCCGUUUGCUAGCAAUUUGCUACAAAUUAGCAACAAGAAAAUCACAUAUUUUCUUGUAGUGGAUUUCUCCUACCUUAUAGUGUGACCAAAUUUAAUAAUAACACAAAGAUUAGGAUUAUCAAGAGCUUAUAUAUACGUAUGGACUAAGCUUGGGAAAUUUCCAUUAUAGUUUCCUUAUUCACAACAAGCUCUCUGAAACUUCACACCAAAAGGAAAGUCACUCAAAACAAAACGAGUAUUCCUAUUUUCAUCAAGAAAAAUCCCAAUAUCCUUACACACAACCUCACAUUCCCUACAAACUGUAGGACAAAACACUAACUUAUAACCACUCUCAAAUCUCUCAAUCUUAAACCAAUUAUCAACGGUUUCACGACCAGGAUUCCCUUGAACACCACCAGUAGUAACAAACCUUUGACUUGUUGCAACAUCAACUUUGUCAACCUUCCACACAGUCACAGAAGAAGUUGAACAGUUUGUUGGGAAACUAUGAAUCACGUUGAGAUCAGUUGAAACUCUAAUAACACCUUUUUUGAAGUUAAAAGGGACAAAGCUAAACUGCAUUGCUUCUUCUUCCUCGACGACAUCAAGAGGACAUGUUUUGUUUGUGUUGAGAAGUGCCAUUUCGCAUCUUGUGCCACAUUGGAUGGAAGACGGAAGGAUGAAGUAGUUUAUGCUGUUUCGUACCAGGUUGCCUGAUGUGUCGCGAACUUCUUCGGGUUGUUCUGCACCUUGAAGUGGUUUUGUGGUGAAUAAUGUAAGUAGAAGAAAUAAGAGUGGAAAAUGCAGUUUCAUAUUUGAUUCUAGUUGUGACUUUUGAGGCUUUGGUUUUACUUCUCAAUGUAGUAGAUUAUUUUCAAUUUAUAGUUUUUUUUUCUUCCUGUUUUUAAAUUGUGGUAGCAGUAACAAUAGCACAUGGUUUGAGAAUUUUGAUAUUGCAAUAAUGCAGUCAAAUGCAGCCUCAUUUGCGGUUG